UACGGGGGGGAGCAAGCGUUGUUCGGAUUUACUGGGCGUAAAGGGCGCGUAGGCGGUCGUGACAAGUCACUUGUGAAAUCUCCGGGCUUAACUCGGAACGGUCAAGUGAUACUGUCGGACUAGAGUACAGAAGGGGCAACUGGAAUUCUCGGUGUAGCGGUGAAAUGCGCAGAUAUCAGGAGGAACACCGAUGGCGAAGGCAGGUCUCUGGGCAUUAACUGACGCUGAGGAGCGAAAGCAUGGGGAGCGAACAGG
rnacentral:rRNA from 1 species